rnacentral:rRNA from 1 species
UACAGAGGGUGCGAGCGUUGUUCGGAAUUAUUGGGCGUAAAGGGCGCGUAGGCGGUGCGGUAAGUCACCUGUGAAACCUCUGGGCUUAACUCAGAGCCUGCAGGCGAAACUACCGUGCUGGAGUGUGGGAGAGGUGCGUGGAAUUCCACGUGUAGCAGUGAAAUGCGUAGAGAUGUGGAGGAACACCGAUGGCGAAGGCAGCCCCCUGGGCCAAUACUGACGCUCAUGCACGAAAGCGUGGGGAGCAAACAGG